AUUUGCCUUAAUGUAUACAUCUGCAGCAUUCGCUUGACUGGUACCUGCAGAGGCCAGAAGAUGAAAUCAGACACCCUAGAACUGGAGUUACAGAAGUGAUUAUUCAGGAAAUGACAUCCAUCCUUCAAUGGCAAGAAUGUGGGGAAGAAGAUUAGAAACUACAAUGGAAGAUCUGUUCGACGGAGGAGCUACACAGCUGUACUGCAAUAGAAGCCUGGACAGACUUAGCUGAGGAAAGAAGAUUCACUCUUGCCAGCCUGAGUACAUUGAAUUUCAGAACAAAUUCUGAUAUGGAACACAAUGUUGGUUACUUUGGUUACUGCUGCGACCCAAGCCUCACAAGAAGCAAUGUAAGGAUGUAUGUGCUCUGCCUCCCAAUUCAAGGGCACAAUCAUUCAUGAAGGACAAAGCAAGGUACCAGGAGAUACUCACAUGGUGGAAGAAGGAACAUGAGGAUACUUAUAUCUCAGAAGAUCAGGAAGCAGGCAGAGGACCACAAGUGCACACUCUAGCUUCGAGCCUCAAGAUCUACUCCAAAGUAACCCACUUCUACCAGGCUCGUUGUCAUCUCAUAAUAUAAAACUUAAUCCAAGUUCAAACGUCCUCACAGGCUUACAGUUCCAACCCUCUUCAAAGUUCAAAGUCACUCCUGGGAUCAAGACCAUUUCUGAACAUCUGUGAGCCCCCGGACCACGAAAAACAAGUUACCCGUGCAACAUACAAUGGCACACAGGAUAAACAACUCUAUUCCAAAAGGAAGACAUGAGGACAUAGUCAAGAAGAAAGCUCGUACCAAAGCAAGAAACACAGUAGAGGAAAUGCCAAACCACGCAGCUCCACAUCCUGCAUCCGGGGCUUGUGAUGGACCAAACCUCACAGGUCCAUGUCCUGCAUCCGGGGCUUGUGAUGGAAUCAGCUCUGCUCCAGUUGGCGAGUGUAUACCUGCCCCUCCAGUUCCACCGAGUGUGUGGUCCCUCUCUUCGGCCAAUCCCACUUGGUGCCUGCAGCUUUCCUUGGUGCGUGCCCAACAUUUCUAGCUCUUCUGGUAUCCUGGGGUCUCCGUUGCUGCUUGGGGAUCCUUUGACGCUUCAUGCAAUGGCCUCUUGUUGCCUCUGCACAGAAUCUAACUCUGCAAAACAUUGGCCUGAACAGCUCUUCUGGCAUUUUGGAGCAAGCCUCCAUGGCACUGUGGCUUUGUUUUGUUUUUUGCAUGCCUGCAAGUCUAGCGUCUUGUGGGCAAUGCCAGGUUCUGCUGCCAGCUUCAGAUGGAGGCAGCAAUACCCUCUUCACAGCAGCUGGGAUGGCCUCUGUGUAUCACUGCCUCCGAGCAAGAGAAAACAAUUGUCUUAAUGGCCCUGCCUAAGCAGGAUGCCCUGUGGCUCUCCGUGUUCACACACUCACUUUCCAAAUAAAAGUUGUCCAAUGAGGUUGCAUUGA